rnacentral:tRNA from 1 species
GUCUUCGUGGUGUAGUGGUCAGCACGCUCGUCGCGUAACUAAGAAGUUCGUGGUUCGAUUCCCGGCGAAGGCG